UUUUUUUUCUGAAGAUUCAUAACAGUCACAACAUGUGACAAAAUACCUUUAGCUACGCAAUAACAUACCUUCAUUUCCCUUUAACUAAUGUUACCCACACAGGAUGGCAUCUCCAAGAUAAACCACCGAUUCUAAAAGUCAGCUAUUUGCUGGUAAAGAAAAAUGUCAUUUAUCUGGCUUUGGAACAGAAGCUCCCACUUUUCAGCAUUCUGGCUUCCUAUUUACUUUUCAAUAAUGUCACCCAAUAACCUUGAACAUAAAAUAGCUAUGUUUCUCAAGACAAGAUCCUGACGUUUCAUUGUGAUUACCAGACAGAAAAAAUCCCAAAAGCAUGGUACAGAAACACAUGCCUUAAGUCUAGUGAACAUGAGCCAAUCCUUGGCAUCAACACCCUGAAAGUCUUACCGGAAACACUGGAUCAAAGAACACCCUAAUAUAUACAGGCAGAAAUGUAGAACAAUUCCACUGGUAUGAGUCUAGUCCCAAGGCUUUAUGGUGAUGUAAAUGAAGUGUGAAAUUUGGCAGGAUAACUGGCUUACUGCCUGGCAGCAGGAAAAAUCUGCUUCCUUGCAACAUGCUUGCAGUGCGAACAAUGCUAGCUACUAAUCACCACUAAUUAUCGCAGGACACUAACAGAGCUCAUAUUGCAGGCAAAGGAGCGAUGGUUGAAUGCAGGUUGUGCUGCAGAGCACAGAGGUGACAUCAUUUGAGCAUCUGCCUUACAGCAUCAAGAACCAGACUAAUACGUCCGUUCAAAAUCCACAGCAGAGCAUCCUAAAGAAGAGACAGACUCCUGCAACCCCCAAACCACAACAGGUUUGGAUCACAGUGACCUCUUAUACCACAAACGAGGAAAUUUUGCACCAUCAUUUAUACUGUGGUACAGUGUAAGUACAUUGGUACUUUACUUAACAGCAGUGAGGAGUGUGUUUCACUGUAAGAAUGUUUCCAAGGAGCAAGGAAAUACCUGUUCUCAAGAUAAGUGAUUCCUUUUUUAAGGCAAGAGCUCUGAAAAAAGUUUCAACAGAGUCACCUGGAUUUCUCUUUGCUGUGCACAAAGCGAACUCUCUUCUCCUCCACAUCCUUGCAGCUGAAGUGGUCACCUUUGCUCAGCUUCACCUCUGCUCCCCUCACCACCAUCACCAGCCUGCCGUUGGAGGGAGUGCUGUUGAUAUGGAACAAGAGCUGUCCUCUGUCACCAUCCAGAUCACACGCACCCAGCAAGGACAGGUCUAGGGGCUUUACCGCACCAAUUCCUACUGUGAGGCUACUGUUCACAUAGAAGCUCGAGGGAUGCUUGCUGGCUAAAAAGAAAGAAGGGAGAAGUAUUAUUGAAUGAAUAACAGCCAUGGACUGUGGUAGCAUCUUGUUUGUCACUACCAUCUUUUGGAUAACAGACCAGACCCUUAUAAUGCCCUAUUCAUUACCUAUAGCCACUAUCUCACGAAGGAUUGUAGUCCAUCCCAAUCCCCACUACGGUUUUGAGAGGCUUGGGCAAGUCACUUCCCAUCUUGAGCUCCCCUCUAGUCCCUGCAGAUGGACUAGUAGAUCUUCAUUUAGAACAAAGAAAAGUAAGUACUACAGUUCAUUUAGCAAGGGAUUCCUUCAAAGAUAUAUUUUCAUUUGUUUUAUGUUGAUGAUGAAUGAUGCUCCAUUGGAAAGACAUGCCUCUUUCCUAAUGAGGUAAC
rnacentral:lncRNA from 1 species